UACAGAGGUGGCAAGCGUUGUUCGGAAUUAUUGGGCGUAAAGGGCGCGUAGGCGGCUUUUCAAGUGACGGGUGAAAUCCCUCGGCUUAACCGAGGAACUGCCUGUCAGACUGGAAGGCUUGAGACCGGGAGAGGUGAGUGGAAUUCCCAGUGUAGCGGUGAAAUGCGUAGAUAUUGGGAGGAACACCAGUGGCGAAGGCGGCUCACUGGACCGGAACUGACGCUGAGGCGCGAAAGCGUGGGGAGCAAACAGG
rnacentral:rRNA from 1 species